GGGAAACGAGGCGGGGGCUGGGGGCACGAGCCACCCCGAGUCCUAAGCAGUACAGGCUCA
rfam:Myotis brandtii contig204355, whole genome shotgun sequence.